GAUGAACGCUGGCGGCGUGCCUAAUACAUGCAAGUCGAGCGCAGGGACGAGAUGCUUGUUCCUCCGGUGUUAGCGGCGGACGGGUGAGUAACACGUGGAUAACCUACCUAUAAGAGGGGGACAACUUCGGGAAACGAGUGCUAAUACCGCAUAAUAACUUGAAACACAAGGUUCAAGAGUGAAAGAUGGACUUGCUGCACCCAAAAGUGAGACCGCGGCGCAUUUGCUAGUUGGGAAGGGAAAGGGUUACCAAGGCAACGAUGCAUAGCCGACCUGAGAGGGUGAUCGGCCACACUGGAACUGGGACACGGUCCAGACUCCUACGGGAGGCAGCAGUAGGGAAUCUUCCGCAAUGGGCGAAAGCCUGACGGAGCAACGCCGCGAGAGUGAUGAAGGUCUUCGGAUCGUAAAACUCUGUUAUUAGGGAAGAACAUAUGUGUAAGUAACUGUGCACAUCUUGACGGUACCUAAUCAGAAAGCCACGGCUAACUACGUG
rnacentral:rRNA from 1 species